UAUUUCUCUGUAAAAGAGAAGGAAGGUUAGCUUAGUACAUGGUUGGGAGAGUGAUGGCAGGACACUUGGGCUGGGGAAUCAUAGAAGAAGGCUGGAGGAAAGGACCUUGGACUGCUGAAGAGGAUAAAUUGCUAAUUGAAUAUGUCAAGUUACAUGGAGAGGGAAGAUGGAACUCUGUGGCAAGAUUUGCAGGGCUGAAAAGGAAUGGCAAGAGUUGUAGGCUGAGGUGGGUGAAUUAUUUGAGGCCUGACCUCAAGAGAGGGCAGAUAACACCACAUGAAGAGAAUAUCAUUCUAGAGCUUCAUGCCCGGUGGGGAAACAGGUGGUCAACAAUUGCCCGGAGCUUGCCUGGGAGAACAGACAAUGAGAUUAAGAACUACUGGAGGACCCAUUUCAAGAAGAAGGGAAAAUCUGCAUCAGAACACUCUGAGAAGUCAAAAACUCGACUCCUUAGACGACAACAGCUUCAGCUGCAAAAGCAGCAGCUACAACAACAGCAGCAACAACAGCAACAAAACCAAUUUGACAUGAAAAGGAUCAUGUCUCUACUUGAUGAGAGUGAGCAGAGGGCUCAAGUGAGGCAGGAGAUGGAUUCCAUGUAUUCCAACUCCUCUGAGGAGCAAUGCCUACUCUCUUUCAUGUUCAAUAGUGAUGCCUCUGCACCAGAGACAUUGAAUGAUGACAUUCUGUGGGGAGGCCUGUGGAACUUAGAUGAAAACCAUGCCAACAUAGAUGCAGCAUUUGCAACCAGCAAACCAAGUUUCCCAAGUCUUCUGACCUCCUUCUAUUGAGCCAGUUUUGAGUUACUUAACAAGUCUUUGCUUUCUCAGUGAACAAACCUCAAUUUGCCAUUUUGUCCACAAACUCAUCGGCAAAUCAAACCUGUAGAACUUCCCUGACAAGCUGAUGGCCUCAUCUUGCAACACUUUCAUUGCUGCUUUUACUUGGUUCUCGUCUGUUAAUGGAGCUCUCACACCAAAACGUAGAAUGUAUUUUCCAGAGAGGACCUGUUUGAAAUGGUUUAAAUAAAGAAAAAGA